CGGGACUUAGCUCAGCCUGGUAGAGCAUCUGCUUUGGGAGCAGAGGGCCGCAUGUUCGAAUCAUGUAGUCCCGACCA
rnacentral:tRNA from 1 species